UACGUAGGGGGCGAGCGUUGUCCGGAGUUACUGGGCGUAAAGGGCAAGUAGGCGGUCGUCUACGUUUGGGGUAACAGCUCCCGGCUUAACCGGGAGAGCGCCUUGAAAACGGGGCGACUUGAGAGUCAGAGAGGGACACAGAAUUCCGGGUGUAGUGGUGAAAUGCGUAGAUAUCCGGAGGAAUACCAAAGGCGAAGGCAGUGUCCUGGCUGACAUCUGACGCUGAGGGGCGAAAGCUAGGGGAGCGAACGGG
rnacentral:rRNA from 1 species